UUCACUUUUAGAACCCCCAACAAAACCAAAAAAAUAAAUAAAAUGGGUGAUUUGAUGAACAGAAGCUUCAGGUUUGAUGGAAAAAGAUCAUACUCUUUUGACACAAAUAAAUUCACCAAGUCCAACACCUUUCGCCGUGAAUCCGAGAUAGUAAUCAUGGUCAUGGCUCCAGGAGUACUAGGAAAGGAGCCUGGAAGUUUGUUACUAGAAUAUUUUCGUUGAAGAAAGCUGGCGGUAAUUCUUCUCACACACAUGUACAGAAUAUGGAGGUACAGUAUUCGUCGAGGCGACCAGAUUUGAGCCGACGUUGGCCUGUCCAAGGAUGGUGAUAGCGAACGUAGAAUCAGGUUAAUAUGACUUGUGUGGAUAUUUUGUUAUUGCUCUUUGAUUGCAUAUUCAUUGUAUUUUAGAACCAAAUUAUGAUUUGAAAAUAGCGUAACCAGAUUUUGAAUUUUUAGA